AUACGUAGGGGGCGAGCGUUGUCCGGAAUGAUUGGGCGUAAAGGGCGCGUAGGCGGCCCGGUAAGUCUGGAGUGAAAGUCCUGUUUUUAAGAUGGGAAUUGCUUUGGAUACUGUCGGGCUUGAGUGCAGUAGAGGUAAGUGGAAUUCCCAGUGUAGCGGUGAAAUGCGUAGAGAUUGGGAGGAACACCAGUGGCGAAGGCGACUUACUGGACUGUAACUGACGCUGAGGCGCGAAAGUGUGGGGAGCAAACAGGAUUAGAUACCCUGGUAGUCCACACUGUAAACGAUGAAUGCUAGGUGUAGGGGGUAUCGACCCCUUCUGUGCCGCAGUCAACACAAUAAGCAUCCCGCCUGGGGAGUACGGCCGCAAGGUUGAAACUCAAAGGAAUUGACGGGG
rnacentral:rRNA from 1 species